GACGAACGCUGGCGGCGUGCUUAACACAUGCAAGUCGAACGGAAAGGCCCUGCUUUUGUGGGGUGCUCGAGUGGCGAACGGGUGAGUAACACGUGAGUAACCUGCCCUUGACUUUGGGAUAACUUCAGGAAACUGGGGCUAAUACCGGAUAGGAGCUCCUGCUGCAUGGUGGGGGUUGGAAAGUUUCGGCGGUUGGGGAUGGACUCGCGGCUUAUCAGCUUGUUGGUGGGGUAGUGGCUUACCAAGGCUUUGACGGGUAGCCGGCCUGAGAGGGUGACCGGCCACAUUGGGACUGAGAUACAGUCCAGACUCCUACGGGAGGCAGCAGUGGGGAAUAUUGCACAAUGGGCGGAAGCCUGAUGCAGCAACGCCGCGUGCGGGAUGACGGCCUUCGGGUUGUAAACCGCUUUCGCCUGUGACGAAGCGUGAGUGACGGUAAUGGGUAAAGAAGCACCGGCUAACUACGUG
rnacentral:rRNA from 1 species